AUCUAGCUGAUGAGUCCCAAAUAAGAUUAAAUGCGCAUCCUGGAU
rfam:Schistosoma haematobium scaffold895_8, whole genome shotgun sequence.